AUUGAACGCUGGCGGCAGGCCUAACACAUGCAAGUCGAGCGCGCGGCGGACGGGUGAGUAAUGUAUGGGGACUGCCCGAUAGAGGGGGAUAACUACUGGAAACGGUGUCUAAUACAGCAUACUGUCGGAUAACCCAUAUGGGAGUUGCUAGUAGGUAAGGGAAUGGCGGUCCUAGGGGACGAUCCCUAGCUGGUCUGAGAGGAUGAUCAGCCACACUGGGACUGAGACACGGGCCAGACUCCUACGGAGGCAGCAGUGGGGAAUAUUGGCAAAGGGGCGCAAGCCUGAGGCAGCAAUGCCGCGUGUAUGAAGAAGGCCCUAGGGUUGUAAAGUACUUUCAGUCGGGAGGCGUUACCGAAAGAAGAAGCACCGGCUAACUCCGUGCCAGCAGCCGCGGUAAUAC
rnacentral:rRNA from 1 species